rnacentral:lncRNA from 1 species
UUUGAGUUAUGUGUUUGUCUAACUUUAAGUAAAUUACUAGAUUUUAAUAUGCGCUUUACUUUCCAAAUUUCAUGCAAAUGUAUAUAAUAUUUCAUGUUUAUAUAUAUUAUUCAACUUUCACUACAAAAUUGGGAAAUCAUAUAGAGUUCCAAGUUAUAGAGUGUUUUCAUGUUUUUCAUAUUGUGACAAUACAGUCAUCUAUUUCUUAUAUGAUUAUUUGUCAGUUAAUUGAUUAUUUUUAAUAUGAGGUAAUUUAUAUUAUUACAAUCAUGUUGAUUGAAGAUUUGCAGUUUAUUCAUUUGGGGAUAGAUUUCUAUAGUCAAAUAA